AGAACGAACGCUGGCGGCAUGCCUAACACAUGCAAGUCGAACGCUUCACCGGUUUCGGCCGGUGGGGAGUGGCGCACGGGUGAGUAGCGCGUGGGAACCUGCCCUGUUGUGGGGGAUAACCGAGGGAAACUUCGGCUAAUACCGCAUAAGCCGGUUGUCUUGAAAGGGAUGGCCGGGAAAGAUUUAUCGCGACAGGAGGGGCCCGCGUCGGAUUAGCUAGUUGGUGGGGUAACGGCCCACCAAGGCUGUGAUCCGUAGCUGGUCUGAGAGGAUGAUCAGCCACACUGGGACUGAGACACGGCCCAGACUCCUACGGGAGGCAGCAGUGGGGAAUAUUGGACAAUGGGCGCAAGCCUGAUCCAGCAAUGCCGCGUGAGUGAUGAAGGCCUUAGGGUUGUAAAGCUCUUUCGCCCGCGACGAUGAUGACGGUAGCGGGAGAAGAGCCCGGCUAACUUCGCGCCAGCAGCCGCGGUAA
rnacentral:rRNA from 1 species